UCGGCAUCUACGGAUAUAAGAGCAACGUGAGUCUCAACAUGGGCAACACAUAACGCUUCCUCCAUUAGGAGGAAGAGAAGGUCGUCAUGGCAAACUGGAACUGAAAAAAGGAUGAAUGUCUUUGGAUUGUGGUUUUAUGCUAUCAAGCAGCACUUAAAAUAUUUCAUGUUGGGGACACAGUCAUGCUGCAUGCCAGAGGAGACAGGCUGAGUGGAAAUUAAACGAGGCGAGGCCUGGAGUAGAGGGCUCAGCAGCGACGGAGCAGUCAAAAACAUGACGUCACUUCACUCCAUCGCCCACAACCAUUUCAGUGCUUUUCUGAAUCGUUAUUAGUAUCCCUAUGCCUAUAUUAUUCUUAUACUGAGUUCUUUGAUACUAAAUCCUCAUUUUAUCCAGACAAUAACAUGAUUGGGGACUGAUGAAAUGGAGUCAGGCUCGUUUAAACUGUAACUUAAUGUUACUUUUAAUCCUUCCCUGUAUAAUAACAAAAAAAAAAUAUUUUGGCCUUUCAGGUCUUGCAGAGAGCAAAAGAACUGGAUUGCAAAGAACUGGAUUGGUUAUAAUGCAAGCAAUGUAUAGAGCAAUUAUACAAAAAAAGAAAUGUACUAUGUAAAAUGUAUUGGGUUCCCAAUAUAUUUACCAAACAAGCAUGGUGUGCCAGGUAACACAACUCUCCCAACUUAAGAAUGACACUGACUAAUUUGAUCAGGCCAAAAAAGACAAAAGAGAAUUAAGAGAUGCAGCUUGCAAAACACACUCAAACCUCCUCCAGAUUCACUUCCCAAUAGUGAAGCCAAUCUGGAAGGGUUUACCAAUGUUUUCUCAAUUAGCAUUUUUAAAAUUAUAUCAGAUUAGUAAACAGAAUGUGCCUUUGGAUCAUUGGAUGAAUGGUUGGCUGCUGAUAAUGGGCAAUGUAGAUAUUGCAUUAAAGAUCAGCCAUUUCUUUCUACAACAAUCGAGAACCCUUUUGCAAUUAUGUAAACACAUAAUGUAACCUGAAAACUGCUGCUCUGAUUAAAAGAACAAUGCAACUGA